rnacentral:rRNA from 1 species
GACGAACGCUGGCGGCGUGCUUAACACAUGCAAGUCGAACGGAAAGACCCUGCUUUUGUGGGGUGCUCGAGUGGCGAACGGGUGAGUAACACGUGAGUAACCUGCCCUUGACUUUGGGAUAACUUCAGGAAAUUGGGGCUAAUACCGGAUAGGAGCUCCUGCUGCAUGGUGGGGGUUGGAAAGUUUCGGCGGUUGGGGAUGGACUCGCGGCUUAUCAGCUUGUUGGUGGGGUAGUGGCUUACCAAGGCUUUGACGGGUAGCCGGCCUGAGAGGGUGACCGGCCACAUUGGGACUGAGAUACGGCCCAGACUCCUACGGGGGGCAGCAGUGGGGAAUAUUGCACAAUGGGCGGAAGCCUGAUGCAGCAACGCCGCGUGCGGGAUGACGGCCUUCGGGUUGUAAACCGCUUUCGCCUGUGACGAAGCGUGAGUGACGGUAAUGGGUAAAGAAGCACCGGCUAACUACGUG